AACGAACGCUGGCAGCAUGCCUAACACAUGCAAGUCGAACGAGACCUUCGGGUCUAGUGGCGCACGGGUGCGUAACGCGUGGGAACCUGCCCUUAGGUUCGGAAUAACUCCCCGAAAGGGGUGCUAAUACCGGAUAAUGUCUUCGGACCAAAGAUUUAUCGCCUUUGGAUGGGCCCGCGUUGGAUUAGCUAGUUGGUAGGGUAAAAGCCUACCAAGGCGACGAUCCAUAGCUGGUCUGAGAGGAUGAUCAGCCACACUGGGACUGAGACACGGCCCAGACUCCUACGGGAGGCAGCAGUGGGGAAUAUUGGACAAUGGGCGAAAGCCUGUUCCAGCAAUGCCGCGUGAGUGAUGAAGGCCUUAGGGUUGUAAAGCUCUUUUACCCGGGAUGAUAAUGACAGUACCGGGAGAAUAAGCUCCGGCUAACUCCGUG
rnacentral:rRNA from 1 species